rnacentral:lncRNA from 1 species
AUUGUUGCAAACUCCAUUAAAAAUUUGAAUUGAUGUUAUUUUUUGAAUAAGGGAAAGGUGAAGUGAAAACAAAUUGGAGAGGAGGGGGGUUACAAUUUUUCUCAUUUCAGAUUUCAGCAAUUAAAAAGAAAAUUUCUUCAAGUAUUUUUUUGAGGGGAUUAAUAUUCAACAGCAUAGUGAAUUGCUCAAAAUAAAAAAAAACC